UACGUAGGGGGCUAGCGUUGUCCGGAAUCAUUGGGCGUAAAGCGCGCGUAGGCGGCCCGGUAAGUCCGCUGUAAAAGUCAAAGGCUCAACCUUUGAAUGUCAGUGGAUACUGCCGGGCUAGAGUCCGGAAGAGGCGAGUGGAACUCCUGGUGUAGCGGUGGAAUGCGCAGAUAUCAGGAAGAACACCGAUGGCGAAGGCAGGUCUCUGGGCCGAUACUGACGCUGAGGAGCGAAAGCGUGGGGAGCGAACAGG
rnacentral:rRNA from 1 species